rnacentral:rRNA from 1 species
UGACCUCGGAUCAGGGUUGGAAUACCCA